rnacentral:lncRNA from 1 species
UACAGUUCCAGGUAUAGUUGCAGAAUCAUUCUCCCCUUUGAUAACCAACAAGAGGGACCCCCUAGUUAUAGUUAACACACUCGCUGAGGGCUACAAAGACAGAGGCUUGGCCUGCUUCUGCCAUUUAGUAGCUAAGCGACCUCCAUUGAAUUACCUGACCUUCAAAGUCCCAUGUUUUUCAUUUGUAUCACAGGGAUGAUACGUAAUAUGAAAUUCCUUUCAAAGGUUUAUGUUGAUUAUAAAAUCAUUCAGGCUUGUGAAGGUGGAUAAAAGAUAACUGGCAAAAGUACUCAAUAUGUUUUAGAAACACAGCCAGUCCCUGAUCUAUGAACAAAUUCCAUGGUGGGAGAGUGUUUGUAAAUCAGAUUCAUUCCUAGGUCGGACAAAGUGAGUCUUGCACACCUUUGACACAAAUAUCCAAUGUUCAUUGCUUUGCGCUUCCGGGCGUCCCCUCCACAUCAUCACUGCUUUCCUCCUGCUUCGCACACCCCGGGCUCCGGCUGAGCACUGUACUGCUGAGCACUGUCGCACUGUACAACGAUUGCACAGCGGCACAGCCGUGACAAUAACUGGCAGACACAUGGGCUACUUCUGCGAUUUGCUUUCAUCUACAAACGUUUGUAAUGGGAGGUCCGUUCAUCUGUGGAAGUUUGCAACUCGAAUGUUGAUUGUAAAUUCCCUAAGGGCAGAAAUCAAGAAGGAGAAGAAGAGAAGUUUGGAGAGGGCAGAUAUCUUUUGAAGUUAAUCUAAAUAUGUAUUGAAAUUCUGACACCACUGGUCACUUAAUGCCACCGUGAGACUUCUGUUUCUCAUCUAUAGAACAGGUGCACUGAUUAGGACCUGCAAGUCAGUGGGAAGAAGACCCUGUGUUUGUGAAGUUAUCGGCAUGCUAAUCCAACUUCCUUCUUACUGCUUGCUUUUCCU